UAGUCCACGCCGUAAACGAUGUCUACUUGGAGGUUGUUCCCUUAAGGAGUGGCUUUCGGAGCUAACGCGUUAAGUAGACCGCCUGGGGAGUACGGUCGCAAGACUAAAACUCAAAGGAAUUGACGGGGGCCCGCACAAGCGGUGGAUUAUGUGGUUUAAUUCGAAGCAACGCGCAGAACCUUACCUGGGCUUGAAGUCCCACGAAUCCGGCUGAAAGGCUGGAGUGCCCUUCGGGGAAUGUGGUGAUAGGCGCUGCAUGGCUGUCGUCAGCUCGUGUCGUGAGACGUUGGGUUAAGUCUCGCAACGAGCGCAACCCUCCUCAAUAGUUGCCAUCAGGUUAAGCUGGGCACUCUAUUGAUACUGCCGGUGAUAAACCGGAGGAAGGCGGGGAUGACGUCAAGUCCUCAUGGCCCUUAUGGGUUGGGCUACACGCGUGCUACAAUGGCGGUGACAAUGGGAAGCAAAAGGGUGACCUGGAGCGGAUCCCAAAAAGCCGUCUCAGUUCGGAUUGCACUCUGCAA
rnacentral:rRNA from 1 species